GGUGACUCGGAUGCCGGCAUCUAAUCCGCCAUUAGACGAUGACAUGGAAAAUAUUCCAAAUAGCCGAAUACGAAGAAAUGCACGUGUAUCAAUUUCGUGUGGAGUUGGGCAGCUUCAUAUAGUAUAUUGUAAAGGUGGACAUCCGAAGGGUGCCUGCACCUAUGCUACCUCACCCAUUACGGCAUACGCUACGGAGCUACCUACAGACAGCAACCACCACAGCAAGAGACCGGACUCGGAAAAACCCAAAACUCCUGCCGGUGGGGCAGGGAGAGCGGUUUAACCACGACCAACAUCCUCGCAGCAACGAGUCACCACGCUGAUGCCGUCCGUGCCCACGGGGAACCACGGUGAAGCCCACUUACAGUGCCAUGAUCCUUGACACUCGUUCCGUAGAAUGGGAUGAGAAAAGUUGGAUAGCAAAUUUAGGGGAGAGAGUUUGAUGGUGGGAAAAAAAAAUAGGAAGAUGCGUACGAGCAUCUUCGAUCCUAUCCUGUUCGAGGGUGGGUUAACCUGAGAAGAUUACAGGCAUCCACCCCUAUCACCAGAACUCCGAUAAUUCCAGCUGAACAGGAUUCAUGAACUAAUAAUCCUUAAUGAUAAGAUAAUUAAUUUAUGGAGAAUUUCUUCCAGAGCCAUUCUCUGGUCGAAAAUCGGACAAUCAACGAUGUGAUGCGAAACCGUGUCCUCUUUGCCACACUCGUAUGCUCCUUCCGUAAUGAUAUUCAGCGACGUCAGCUUGGCCUUGAAAGCUCCGUGUUCUGUAAGAAACUGCGAAAUGAAGUGGUUAGAAGAGACGAAACGGGCACCCAUCCUGUUCUUGAUGUCCGGGAAAAACGCGUAUGUUGUCCUUCCCUUGGAAGAAUUCUCCCAUCUGGUCUACCAAUUCCUAAGGAUUUCCUCAUCGACCUGCCUUAUUAUCGUGCGCUUAAUUUUCGUGCCUUCCAGUUCCCGCGUCGCUGCCUCAGCGCUCCUAUUUUUUCUAAUAUCGUAUAAUCUUCUACCUUUCAAUAGCCGGAGAUCAAUCGGGGGCUCCCCUGCUACGACGCAUAGGGAUUCCGUGGCGGUUGUACGAUACGCGGAUAUGACUGAGAUGAGGGCCGAUCGUUGGAUCGCGUUUAGCCCCUUAAGAUCCCCUUCCGUGCAGAGAUCGGAUCAUCCUGCUGCCGCAUACAUGACCGCGGGUAAACACGCCGCGAUAUAUCGCCCGGAGGGCGCAGUGACGGAGUCCCCAUUCCCUAGCUACUAACCUACCUAACUUUGCGAACAGUGGCCCGACCUUGUCGUUAAGGUAACGGCACUGUGUCGUGACCCCCAGCCCUUUAUCGAAGUAUACCCCCAGGUAUCUAACGGAAUUCCUAAAUUUAAUGUUAUUGUUUUCUAUCUUUAUGGUGGGAGACCUACUCGCUAGGUCGGUGUUUUUCGCCGUUUUCCGCUUCCUACCUGGACGUUGUCCUACCCUUCUACCGAUGAGUUUCCUUUUCACCCAGUCGCUUUUAAGGACGAUCACUUCCGUUUUACGCUCGGAGAUUGGCAAUUUCGCCGACGUGCACUAUCCGGUGAUGCUGUUUACCACGCGAUUUCCUUUCUUCUCGAGUUCUUUCCUGGAGUCACCUUCUACGAUAACGAGUACGUGCACUAUCCGGUGAUGCUGUUUACCACGCGAUUUCCUUUCUUCUCGAGUUCUUUCCUGGAGUCACCUUCUACGAUAACGAGUACGUGCACUAUCCGGUGAUGCUGUUUACCACGCAAUUUCCUUUCUUCUCGAGUUCUUUCCUGAAGUCACCUUCUACGAUAACGAGUACGUGCACUAUCCGGUGAUGCUGUUUACCACGCGAUUUCCUUUCUUCUCGAGUUCUUUCCUGGAGUCACCUUCUACGAUAACGAGUAGAGGUCUUCCGCGUACGCGAUCGCGUUGACUUCCGAGGAUUCCUCCAGUAUCUUGAAGAACUAGUCGAACAUGAGAUUCCAUUGGUCGAGGACCGAUCCUUGUGGGCAUCCUCUCGAGGCCUGCUUUGAAACCUCAUGCUCUCCCAGGGCAAUUUUGACCUUACGGUCCGCGAAGUAGCUUAUCAUCACGUUAAAGACAUUUCUCGGGCAGUCCCGAUCUUGGAGUGCUUUGAAAACUAGAGGCCACCAAACGUUGUCGAAGACUCCCGAGAUGUCAAAUAACAACGCGAUCACAUAUCUCCGUGAGGCGGCAAAAAUGAUUCGACGCAUCUUUACGAUUGUGUCUUCUAUGGAACGUCCCUGGAUAAAUCCAAACUGUUCGUCCGAUAGUUUUCCCGGCGCAAGGGAGGUAUCGGUGAGAUGUAGCUUCAGCAGCCUUCCCAGAACUUUCCCUAUGACGGAGAAAAGGCAUAUCGGUCGGUAGGACUUGGGGCAGCUUCAUAUAGCAUUGCGGGAUGACAUCACACGUAUCAACCCUACAUAAUGGAAAGAAAAUAUUUCUAAUGAAUAUAAUCUUCGAAUUAUGUAAAGCGCCGCAUUCCACAUCGGAAUGCUUCCGAUAAUAUUUUCCGAUAAUAGCAGAUAUCCAGAUUAUGAGUUAACAUCACCAAAUAUCGAAGCGUCAUGAUCGAUCUAUGCUACUCCGGAACUCAAUACGCUGAUCUGUAUGGAACUAGGGACGAUGUGAACAGACAUCAAUAAAGCUAAACUUCAGAGAAUAUCACUGUAAUAGUCACUGUAAAUAGUCACUGUAAUAGGCACUGUAAAGAUUAAGGAAAAUAACAUGAUUUUGCAAAGAGGAACGGUAUGAACAUUCACAGAAAGAAUUUGUAUCACGGACAAAGAGGGCAACAUCUACUAGACAAUGCAUCUCGAUGCAAGCUGCAACUACGAUCAUUAUGAGGUUUUGUAUGAGGGACUAACGACCAAGUUCACAUCUAUGAGCCAAACAGUUUCUGGACAUUUACACCAUCACCACGGCAUCACUUUCGAUCUGAAGAAAUACCCUAUUAUCCUUAGCCAGCAAACGUGCAUACAAAGUCGCGCGCAUUCAGAUCACAUACGCCACGAUGCGCGUGCGCAGUGACGUUACUUCGAACUUUUCUGCAUGAGAGAACAGAAACGCUCAAAAUCAGUCUAUAUUCGCCGCUUUCUUAAACUAAGAAGUUGACCGCUGUCGCUCGAAAUAGCACAAUGUAAAAAAUCUACAUCCGAUCCUCGAAGCUUACGAAAUCGAAAUUUACAGUAAAAAUAGAAUCUUACAGUCUGAAUUUUUCGAAUUCUAUUAGAGUUUUGUUAAAUAUACUACGAGACAUACAAAUAUUGCGCGCAUUACACGCGAAUAGCAUUACUUCUAUCAAAUUAUAAUCGGAGGUUAAAUAAUAAUAAUUUUAUACGUAUUUUCUAAAUCUUUGUUAUUCAGAAAGUAAAAUGAAAAUUAUAUAAUCUUUUUAAUAGUUACAUUAAAAAUUUUUAUUGUUAA